rnacentral:rRNA from 1 species
UGGGGAAUUUUGCACAAUGGGGGAAACCCUGAUGCAGCGACGCCGCGUGAUUUAGAAGGCCUUCGGGUUGUAAAAAUCUUUUCUAUGGGAAGAAAAUGACAGUACCAUAGGAAUAAGGACCGGCUAAUUACGUGCCAGCAGCCGCGGUAAUACGUAAGGUCCGAGCGUUGUCCGGAAUCAUUGGGCGUAAAGGGUACGUAGGCGGGUAAGCAAGUUAGAAGUGAAAUCCUAUAGCUCAACUAUAGUAAGCUUUUAAAACUGCUCAUCUUGAGGUAUGGAAGGGAAAGUGGAAUUCCUAGUGUAGCGGUGAAUUGCGCAGAUAUUAGGAGGAAUACCGGUGGCGAAGGCGACUUUCUGGCCAUAACCUGACGCUGAGGUACGAAAGCGUGGGUAGCAAACAGG